CGGUUUUUCAAAGUGGGUGGCUUGCUCCACCUUUUUCUGCCCAUGAUCUGGUGGUUAUCUUCUAAUUUUAAGACCCAUUAUCCCCACACUAAAACUUCUACAAAUCUGGGUCAGUGAGGAGAUAUUGUUAUAUGAUGUACCUACAAACAACAAUUUGAAUCAUUAAUUUCAGUAAACAAAUUCGUGACACACGCCGUGACAGAGCAUAUUCCAGACGGGGAGGUACUAAUUUUGCAUAUAUGAAUGAAACACAUGUAUGCUGGAGCGUGGUUUUUCUGCCUACCAGUGAACAGAUCGAACAUUGGUGGUACAGGAAAUAAGGAAGCACCUGAGUUGCUAGUAAGUUGUAGCAAGUUCCUUUGUGUUUAGAAUUGUUAAAUUAACCAUAAUAUCUAAACUCAUACUUUCGAUCUUCAAAAUACUUUUGAUUUUCAAAAUGGCUGGUGUCAUAGGAGGAACUGGAAGAAGCAUUGGGACUGCAAGUAUAAGUUUAUUGGAAAUGAAGAGAUUAAAAUUGUGUCUAAACUAACUACAUAAACUAUUUCUGAAUAUUUACUUCAUUGUACAUAAACUUGUGGAAGCAUUGCAAGUUAGGAUAACUAACUUUACAUUUGAAGGAAAAUUAAAGAGUUAACUUGUGUUUGUAUAUGCAAUUGAUCUUAUGCACUCUUCUAAAAUUUUAUUUUGUGGUUAAGCAUUUUGAGGAGGCGUUGAAAUGCAUGUAAGUUCUAUUUGUUUUAAACUUUGAGGUUCCUUUAUGCCUAAUUAUGCUAAAUUAACUAGAUCAAACUCAUCUAUUUCUUUCAAAAUUUGUUUGAUGUUAGGAAAUUGAAGAAGCAUUGGGAUUGCCUGUAAGUUCAGGUUUGAUGAACAUGAAAAGUUUCUGCAAGUUAAUGAAACUAAACCAUGCCUCAAAUAUUGUUGGGAACCUCUACAAGUUGAAGAAAGUUGAUGUACGAUAUGCUUUUGGUGGUAUUAUCUUUGCCCUAGUCUAUUGCACUUCCGGUAUCUCAGGAGGACACAUCAGUCCCCACCAGUGACCUUCAGCUUACACAACCUUAUCUUCACGAAUCAUGACACCAACAUGCAAUGGGAAAGGUAAGGGAUUCUCGUGGACGUUUUUCGAAAAAGACACUGAUUCUUUAAAGAGCACAACAGCUUCCGGCCUUGCCAUUUAUGUGAAUUCAAAGCACGUGCACUCAGAAUCCGCUGAAAACACCAUGGGUCAAAACCGUAAAUUCACAUAAUUACUAGGUGAGUGUUAUCAACUCUAGGGAUUACACAGUCAGAACUCAAAAACGUUGUUGCUAUUUAUCGUUCAUACAUGAUCGCAAUAAUUACAAAUCCAUCGGAAUGAUGCUAUCUGAGCUGCGAAAAGUGGAGGAGAUGCGACUUCAAUGGGAUGAAGAAAGUUAUAUUUUGUUUUUACUAUUUUUUAAAAGAAGUUGUUGACCUGAUGCAUUCAUUAUUAUUAGAGAGGCGUAUCAAAGCAUGAUGUCAGAAAAGGGGAACUUGAGAAAUGGAAAGUUGGAUUCCUUUCGCAAGGGUUUUAAAGUUCUUGAAGCACUUGACCUCAUCAUAAGAAUUGUUGUGGAGAAGCACCAGAUUGAUUACCAACUCGGUGAUAUAAAGGGAAUUCUAGGGUUGGUGAUGACAUGAACAUCUAUGCGACAAUUGACGAUGGGGAACUGAAUUUUGAUUAUAGACAAAAAACGUAAGGCCUUUAUAAUAUUGCCACGUCAACAUAUCGAGUGGGGGUGAUCAGCUUGCAGCACAAAGAACACAUGUAUCACUUCUAAAUCUUACCAUGAUCAAAAUGUACCGGAUAAUGGAAACUUUUAUAAACUAUGCACUGUUUGUCAUAUUGGUUUUUAUUUUAUUAAGUUGUCACCGCAAACCAAAGGUACAGUCGGAUGAAGUAUUUGAUAUAUUCACGGGGGACAGAAAAUUUUAAGACGGUUGUUGAGCAGUGCUAUGGAAAGACGUUUGAACCUGCAUGAGAGUUGCUCGAGUUGGAGUUCAAAAGCCAUCUAAGAUGGCACACACAAGUUCAGUCUAUCACAUUAUCUUCACAUAGUUUGGUUUGCAAUAUGAUUAUUUAAAAUGGUUUUUACCGAGUUCUGUUCUGCUUUUAAGUUAUUGGUUGAUUA